rnacentral:rRNA from 1 species
GACGGAGGGUGCUAGCGUUGUUCGGAAUUACUGGGCGUAAAGGGCGCGUAGGCGGCCCUGUCAGUCGGGUGUGAGAGCCCGGGGCUCAACCCCGGAACGGCACCCGAGACGGCAGGGCUGGAGACCGGGAGAGGAGGGUGGAAUAGCCAGUGUAGAGGUGAAAUUCGUAGAUAUUGGCUGGAACACCGGUGGCGAAAGCGGCUCUCUGGCCCGGUUCUGACGCUGAGGCGCGAAAGCGUGGGGAGCAAACAGG